rnacentral:rRNA from 1 species
UACGGAGGGUGCAAGCGUUAUCCGGAUUCACUGGGUUUAAAAGGGUGCGUAGGUGGGUUGGUAAGUCAGUGGUGAAAUCCCCGAGCGUUAACUUCGGGAACUGCCAUUGAUACUAUUAAUCUUGAAUACCGUGGAGGUUAGCGGAAUAUGUCAUGUAGCGGUGAAAUGCUUAGAUAUGACAUAGAACACCAAUUGCGAAGGCAGCUGGCUACACGAAUAUUGACACUGAUGCACGAAAGCGUGGGGAUCAAACAGG